AUUGAACGCUGGCGGAAUGCUUUACACAUGCAAGUCGAACGGCAGCACGGGGGCAGCCCUGGUGGCGAGUGGCGAACGGGUGAGUAAUACAUCGGAACGUGCCCGGUCGUGGGGGAUAACGUAGCGAAAGUUACGCUAAUACCGCAUACGAUCUGAGGAUGAAAGCGGGGGACCUUCGGGCCUCGCGCGAUCGGAGCGGCCGAUGUCAGAUUAGGUAGUUGGUGGGGUAAAGGCCUACCAAGCCGACGAUCUGUAGCUGGUCUGAGAGGACGACCAGCCACACUGGGACUGAGACACGGCCCAGACUCCUACGGGAGGCAGCAGUGGGGAAUUUUGGACAAUGGGCGCAAGCCUGAUCCAGCCAUUCCGCGUGCAGGACGAAGGCCUUCGGGUCGUAAAAUGCUUUUGUACGGAACGAAAAGGCUCUGGCUAAUACCUGGGGCUCAUGACGGUACCGUAAGAAUAAGCACCGGCUAACUACGUG
rnacentral:rRNA from 1 species